UACGUAGGGUGCGAGCGUUAAUCGGAAUUACUGGGCGUAAAGCGUGCGCAGGCGGUUCGUUAAGUCAGAUGUGAAAGCCCCGGGCUCAACCUGGGAACUGCAUUUGAAGCUGGCGGGCUUGAGUGUGGCAGAGGGGGGUGGAAUUCCGCGUGUAGCAGUGAAAUGCGUAGAGAUGCGGAGGAACACCGAUGGCGAAGGCAGCCCCCUGGGCCAACACUGACGCUCAGGCACGAAAGCGUGGGGAGCAAACAGG
rnacentral:rRNA from 1 species